rnacentral:rRNA from 2 species
GUCGUACGAGCUCUGGUAUAGAUUGGUGCUUGCAUCAUGAUUUACAUUUGAGUGAGUGGCGAACUGGUGAGUAACACGUGGGAAACCUGCCCAGAAGCGGGGGAUAACACCUGGAAACAGAUGCUAAUACCGCAUAACAACUUGGACCGCAUGGUCCGAGUUUGAAAGAUGGCUUCGGCUAUCACUUUUGGAUGGUCCCGCGGCGUAUUAGCUAGAUGGUGGGGUAACGGCUCACCAUGGCAAUGAUACGUAGCCGACCUGAGAGGGUAAUCGGCCACAUUGGGACUGAGACACGGCCCAAACUCCUACGGGAGGCAGCAGUAGGGAAUCUUCCACAAUGGACGAAAGUCUGAUGGAGCAACGCCGCGUGAGUGAAGAAGGGUUUCGGCUCGUAAAACUCUGUUGUUAAAGAAGAACAUAUCUGAGAGUAACUGUUCAGGUAUUGACGGUAUUUAACCAGAAAGCCACGGCUAACUACGUGCCAGCAGCCGCGGUAAUACGUAGGUGGCAAGCGUUGUCCGGAUUUAUUGGGCGUAAAGCGAGCGCAGGCGGUUUUUUAAGUCUGAUGUGAAAGCCUUCGGCUCAACCGAAGAAGUGCAUCGG